rnacentral:misc_RNA from 1 species
AAGUCGUAACAAGGUAACCGUAGGUGAACCUGCGGUUGGAUCAUUAACAAAUAAAUUUAGGCCCCCGGCUGCCCCUCAAAAGGCGAUGGGGAAAACCUAAACAUUUGUGUGCACCAUAUCUGUUUUUGGCAGUUCGAGUGUCCUGAGUUUAAACAACAGACUCAGGUACCUACCUAGGCAAACCUUCGGGUGCUGAGGUUGGGCUGCCGCCCACUUUGAACUAACUUUUGUUUCAUAUUAAUGCCUGAAAUUGUUUGAUCUUCACAGAUUGAAUUUUAAAUACAACUUUUGACAACGGAUCUCUUGGCUCUC